AUGGGCUGGAUCGCUCCACCGGCGGGGCUCACAAAAAUAAACGUCGAUGCUGCAGUCGGAAGGGGAAGGAGACAUGGAGCCGUGGCGGCAAUAUCAAGAGAUAACACUGGCCAGUUUUUAGGGGCAUCGGUGGUGGUCUAUGGAGGCAUAUCCGAUCCAGCGACACUCGAAUGUAUGGCGGUCAGAGAGGCACUAGCCCUCGCUGAAGAUUUGAAUGUGACAGACAUCAAAGUGGCAUCCGACUCGAAGGUGGUGGUCACCGACAUCCGAGAGAAGAACCCAACGGAGUAUGGAGCAAUCGUACAUGAAAUAAUAGAACGUAGUUCAUCUUUCCUUUUUUGUAACUUUUGUCAUGAAUUUAGGAGCUCGAACACCGAGGCUCACAAGCUCGCGAGGCACGCUUUAUCCCUUCCGGUUGGCCGACAUGUUUGGUUGGGCCAGCCGGAUGGACUUUCGUUCGUCCAUGUAAACAUUGUGACGUCAUAA
rnacentral:rRNA from 1 species